rnacentral:rRNA from 1 species
CCCCAGUAAACGGCGGCCGUAACUAUAACGGUCCUAAGGUAGCGAAAUUCCUUGUCGGGUAAGUUCCGACCCGCACGAAAGGCGUAACGAUUUGGGCACUGUCUCAACAACAGACUCGGUGAAAUUGUAAUUCCGGUGAAGAUGCCGGAUACCUGCGACAGGACGGAAAGACCCCAUGGAGCUUUACUGUAGCUUGACAUUGGGUCUUGGUACUACAUGUACAGGAUAGGUGGGAGGCUUUGAAACCAGGACGCCAGUUUUGGCGGAGCCAUCCUUGGGAUACCACCCUUGUAGUACUGGGACUCUAACCAUAGGCCAUGAAUCUGGUCUUGGGACACUGUCAGGUGGGCAGUUUGACUGGGGCGGUCGCCUCCCAAAAGGUAACGGAGGCGCUCAAAGGUUCUCUCAGUACGGUCGGAAAUCGUACGUAGAGUGUAAAGGCAAAAGAGAGCUUGAUUGCAAGACAUACAGGUCGAGCAAGGAUGAAAAUCGGACUUAGUGAUCCGGUGGUUCUGCGUGGAAGGGCCAUCGCUCAACGGAUAAAAGCUACCCUGGGGAUAACAGGCUUAUCUCCCCCAAGAGUCCACAUCGACGGGGAGGUUUGGCACCUCGAUGUCGGCUCAUCACAUCCUGGGGCUGUAGUAGGUCCCAAGGGUUGGGCUGUUCGCCCAUUAAAGUGGUACGCGAGCUGGGUUCAGAACGUCGUGAGACAGUUCGGUCCCUAUCCGUCGCAGGCGUAGGAAAUUUGAGAAGACCUGUCCUUAGUACGAGAGGACCGGGAUGGACGUACCUCUGGUGUACCAGUUGUCC